rnacentral:rRNA from 1 species
GACGAACGCUGGCGGCGUGCUUAACACAUGCAAGUCGAACGAAGUGGCGCACGGGUGAGUAACGCGUAAUCAACCUGCCCUUCAGCGGGGUACACCAGUUGGAAACGACUGCUAAUACCGCAUACUGAAGUAGGGCAUUUCGGCUGAUUCGCUAGUUGGAGGGGUAACGGCCCACGAAGGAGAUGAUCAGUAGGCGGUCGGAGAGGAUGAACGGGCACAGUGGGACUGAGACACGGCCCAGACGCCGACGGGAGGCAGCAGGGGGGAAUCGUCCGCAAUGGACGAAAGUCUGACGGAGCAACGCCGCGUGAGGGAUGACGGCGGUCGGGUGGUAAAGCUCUGUUAAUCGGGACGCGGUACCGGAAGAGAAAGCCACGGCUAACUACGUGCCAGCAGCCGCGGUAAUAC